rnacentral:tRNA from 3 species
GAGGGAUUAGCUCAGCUGGGAGAGCGCCUGCUUUGCAAGCAGGAGGUCAUCGGUUCGAUCCCGUUAUCCUCCA